rnacentral:rRNA from 1 species
AACAUGUGCGCAAGUCGUAAGGUCGGUUCAUUCGAAGCGAAACCCGAAGGCGAAAUGAAAGUGAAGGCCGUCCUUUGUCUCUCUCUUUUGAGGGAUGAUCGAACGACCGAGGCGGGAUCCUAGAGAACAGCAAUGUUCUCGAACCGGACUGCGUGGGCUCGUCUCUCGCGAAACGGUCCGGGGGCGCACCGCCGGCCCGUCUCGACCGCUUAUUUUUCGGUCUGUCUUCGCGACUCGUCUCUUUUUCUCUCUCGUUAGCUUUUAAUCGGGCUGGCGGGAAGAAAGGGCGGUUCGAAGCGCGGAAUUUAUUUCGGUCGGUGAGGCGGAGCUAGAGCACACACGUUGGGACCCGAAAGAUGGUGAACUAUGCCCGGGCAGGACGAAGCCAGAGGAAACUCUGGUGGAGGUCCGCAGCGAUUCUGACGUGCAAAUCGAUCGUCGGACCUGGGU